rnacentral:lncRNA from 1 species
UAGUUGAGUACAUAUUGAUUUGAAAUAACCAAAACUUUUAACAAAUCACUUUUCUCAGAAGAAUCCAGUAAGAGAAAGAUAAUUUCUUCCAAAGACAUGAGACGUUCCCUGGCUGGCCAAGAAAAAUUGGCAUCUGGCAUACCUAGGAAUCAUUCAAAAUAGUUUAAUAGGAAGGACAUUUUGAGGCCAGCCAGCAUUAUGACAUUUGUGGGUCCUACGGCAUUUCACCUUGGUGGGUCCCUUUUUCAUAAACACGCAUUUAUACCAACACUGACAUAAAGAUAAAUAUCUUAAUAUUAUAUAUUUAAACAUUUUCUUUAACCAACACCUAAUUUUUUUCUUUUUUGUUCUUAUUUUAAAAGGAAACAUUUUCCUGGGCAUCUAAAAGUAUUGUGGACCUGAGACACUGUGCUUACAGGGCCUACUGGGUUGAUUCUAAAGAAGAAAGAAAAUCUAUAUGCAUGAAAAGAUGUCUUAAAAAGUUUUGAACUACUCAAAGUUAAGAUUUGGGGAAAUAGAAAUAGUAUAUAACUUAAGAAAAUUGCCACUGGCUGUGAACCCCCAUGGCAUUUUCUUUGCACUUUUUUGCUUCUCGUUAGAUUGUAUGUGUUUUUACCAUUUCACACAAACUUUUAAAGAUUAUUCCACGCCGUUAGCUCUGUGCUUCUAUUAGUGUCUCUAUCUCUCUUUCUCUCUCUCUUCCAUCUGAGUACAAUG